rnacentral:rRNA from 1 species
AUACCGGCAGCUCAAGUGGUCGUCGCUUUUAUUGGGCCUAAAACGUCCGUAGCCUGUUUGGUAAAUCUGUGGGUAAAUCAACCAGCUUAACUGGUUGAAUUCUGCAGAGACUGCCAGACUAGGGACCGGGAGAGGUGUGGGGUACUCUAGGGGUAGGGGUAAAAUCCUGUCAUCCUUAGAGGACCACCAGUUGCGAAGGCGCCACACUGGAACGGAUCCGACGGUCAGGGACGAAGCCUAGGGGCACGAACCGGAUUAGAUACCCGGGUAGUCCUAGGUGUAAACGCUGUGAACUUGGUGUCGGGGAUCCGCAAUGGGUCCUCGGUGCCGGAGUGAAGAUGUUAAGUUCACUGCCUGGGGAGUACGGUCGCAAGGCUGAAACUUAAAGGAAUUGGCGGGGAGCACUGCAACGGGAGGAGCGUGCGGUUUAAUUGGAUUCAACGCCGGAAAACUCACCAAGGCCGACUGUUAGAUGAAGAUCAGCGUAAUGAGCUUAUCGGAUUUUCAGAGAGGUGGUGCAUGGCCGUCGUCAGCUCGU